rnacentral:rRNA from 1 species
UGGGGAAUUUUGGACAAUGGGCGCAAGCCUGAUCCAGCCAUGCCGCGUGCGGGAAGAAGGCCUUCGGGUUGUAAACCGCUUUUGUCGGGGAAGAAAUCUUCUGAGUUAAUACCUCGGGAGGAUGACGGUACCUGAAGAAUAAGCACCGGCUAACUACGUGCCAGCAGCCGCGGUAAUACGUAGAGUGCAAGCGUUAAUCGGAAUUACUGGGCGUAAAGCGUGCGCAGGCGGUUUUGUAAGACAGAGGUGAAAUCCCCGGGCUCAACCUGGGAACUGCCUUUGUGACUGCAAGGCCUGAGUGCGGCAGAGGGGGAUGGAAUUCCGCGUGUAGCAGUGAAAUGCGUAGAUAUGCGGAGGAACACCGAUGGCGAAGGCAAUCCCCUGGGCUGCACUGACGCUCAUGCACGAAAGCGUGGGGAGCAAACGGGAUUAGAUACCCUGGUAGUCCACGCCCUAAACGAUGUCAACUGGUUGUUGGGAAGGUUCCUUCUCAGUAACGUAGCUAACGCGUGAAGUUGACCGCCUGGGGAGUACGGCCGCAAGGUUGAAACUCAAAGGAAUUGACGGGGUCAUAGCUGUUUCCU